rnacentral:rRNA from 1 species
UACGUAGGGUGCGAGCGUUGUCCGGAAUUAUUGGGCGUAAAGAGCUCGUAGGCGGUCUGUUGCGUCUGCCGUGAAAACCCGAGGCUUAACCUCGGGCCUGCGGUGGAUACGGGCGGACUAGAGGUAGGUAGGGGAGAAUGGAAUUCCCGGUGUAGCGGUGAAAUGCGCAGAUAUCGGGAGGAACACCGGUGGCGAAGGCGGUUCUCUGGGCCUUACCUGACGCUGAGGAGCGAAAGCAUGGGGAGCGAACAGG